UGGGGAAUAUUGCACAAUGGAGGGAACUCUGAUGCAGCGACGCCGCGUGAGUGAUGAAGGACUUCGUUUCGUAAAACUCUGUUCUAUGGGAAGAAAAGGACUGUACCAUAGGAGAAAGCUCCGGCUAAAUACGUGCCAGCAGCCGCGGUAAUACGUAUGGAGCGAGCGUUGUCCGGAAUUAUUGGGCGUAAAGGGUGCGCAGGCGGCUUUACAAGUUGGAUGUGAAAUAUUGUGGCUCAACCACAUACGUGCAUCCAAAACUGCAAAGCUUGAGUUAAGGAGAGGUAAGUGGAAUUCCUGGUGUAGCGGUGGAAUGCGUAGAUAUCAGGAGGAAUACCGGUGGCGAAGGCGACUUACUGGACUUAAACUGACGCUCAGGCACGAAAGCGUGGGGAGCAAACAGG
rnacentral:rRNA from 1 species